AUUUGCUGGUUUUAUUACUCAAGAUGUACAGUGCCCACAAGGUGUUUGUGGUAUUGUUCUUGAUUUGAUUUUUUAUUUUAUUUAUUAACGAGUUCGUAAAAUCAAAUAGGAUAAUCAAUCUUUCCUCUUAUCUUCAAAUCAAUCAUCCACAUAAUCAUGUUAACACUUACAUUACAUUAGCUUGCAUAUCUUGUAUUAAGUAAUCUCGUUUACUUAAAGAGCAUAUAUGGUUGCCUUUGGUCUCUCGCGUUACACCCAUACACAUAUCCCUUGCAUUACAUUAAGUGCUUUAGAAUUUUAAGAUAGAAAUCACCACCCAAAUAGUAUCUCAUAAUAACGUUAUAGAGCUAAUGGUUUAUAUAUGCAUCUGAAUAAAAUGUGCUUCUCAUUAAAAGAAUCAGAAAUACUGAAGCUAAGUAUCUAAGAAAUAUUAAGAUUUAUUUUUAAGUUAUUAAAUCAAUCUUAAGUUUGUUACUAUAUUAUUAUAUUUUUAUAUUAUUGAAUCUCAAAAAAGGUUACUAUAAAGUUUAUAAUAUUUUUAUAAAGUUUAUAUUAUUAUUAUUUUUUAAGGUAUAAAAUUUUAAGGUAUUGAAUCUCAAAAAAGGUUACUAUAAAGUUUCUUUUAAAAAAAUUGAUUUAUUUGUAUAUUAUUAAAUCAAUCGUAACUCUGUUAGUUCUAACUUCUAACACUAGUUACUAAAAAGUACUUUUAAUUGUGAAAUCCGUGCUUGGCUGUUUCAUGGAAAGAUUUUUUCACCCUUGAUGAGAAAGAGCGUGAGAAGGGUGCUAAAGACUUAUAUGAGGCUCUGCAGUUUUUUGAGGAUAUAUAGAAGACUUGGCACUCUCUGCUCCUUCAAAGCUCUCUAUGAAAGUCUUGCUGCUUUAAAAUAGAUGAAUUUAAGUGAUAUUUAGAAUUUGUAAGGAAAUCUAUAUGAACCACUUGUCCCUAUGAGAUGCUCCAAUUCUUCUGUCCCUUUCACUUCACCUAAUUUUGAGAUGGAGCCUGAUCUCACGCUUAACAAUGAAGAUCUCAAGCCAACUACACCUACCCAAUGAACCUUUUUAGGGUUGGAAAUGGCUAGCCUCUGGGUAGCACUCAUUGUGGGAGUCCCUUCCUACUACCUAGCUAGUAGCCUUGUUGACAUUGGAAUGGCUUUGUGGCAAGGCAUAGCCACAGUGGUUGCAGCUAAUAUAAGAUCGAGACCUUAUAUUGUUGAGCAGCCUAAGGAGGACAGAAAGAGAGUUGAUUUGACAAAAAAUGUAUUCGACUUGACAAACGAACGGUUUCUUGUCCCGGAGAUGAUCUUCUGUCCUGCUGAUUUGGAUAUGUCUUUGUGUAAUUUAAUUCUAGUACUAUUUUCAAAUGAUAUAUAAGUUAAUUCUUUGGAUGAUGAGUUUCUUUGAGUGGACUGCAUAUGAGGAUUUUAAUUAGUCUAAUUUUGUAUCAUUUGCCCAUUGUGAAUAACAAACUGUUUUUCUUUUCUCUACAAAAUAUUGCAGGAGUGAACCAGGUUGGGCUAGCACAGUGCAUUGUACGGGCUGUUAAUUCUUGCCACCCACAUCUCCACCCUGUGCUCUAUGAAAGUCUCUUAGGUUCACUUCACAUGACAACAAAUGUAUGUUUGUUUCUGUACCAAAGAUCAAGCAGAGGAGCCAAGAUCAAGAUCAAGAGAAUGAACUAAGGGAACCUCAGAAAAUAACAACAGAUAAUGUCUUUCAGAUACAGUUCCCCCAACAGCAUAUGUUACUGCCCCAACAUCUUUCACAAGUUCUUUAAAUGGUUUGUGAUGUCUCCCAACAUUGAAGAUUGUCAGGCCCGUAAGAAGCUAAAAAUCAAAACUAUAUUCAAUAUAUUGGGUCCCAUGUUAAAUCCAGCUCAGGCACCCUUUGCAGUUGUUGGAGUAUACAUAGAAGACUUGGCAAGUUCCAUCAUAGAGAAUUGAUGAGUAUCAUCUUAGGCAGUUCAAUGCAAAGACAGCAAAACUAAGAACACAUCAUUUGGAGCCUCCAAAUGUUUGCCAAAGUUGAUUAAUUUAAUUUUUGGUUCUCAUAUUUGUAAGACUACAAUAUGUUUAUUUUCUCUUAAUAUCAGGGACAUCUUCAACCAAUCUGAUUACUUUCUCACCAAAUUGAAUACUAAUAUGUUAUUGUCUUUGUAUAUUGAAAGCAUGGCC